UAAAAAUUAGUUUAUAGGAACUUUUCAAUUUGACUGAGAAAGAAUUAGUGCAAUUCUAUUAUUUUUAA
rnacentral:tRNA from 1 species